UAUUUACUCCCCCGUCCUAAAAUUCUUGUCUUAAAUUUGUCUAAAUACGGAUAUAUCAAGUCAUGUUUUAGUAUUAGAUACAUCCGUAUCUAGACGAAUUCAAGACAAGAAUUUUGGAACGGGGGGAGUAUUUA
rfam:Triticum aestivum genome assembly, contig: Triticum_aestivum_CS42_TGACv1_scaffold_129762_2BL